GACAGAGGGUGCAAACGUUGCUCGGAAUCACUGGGCGUAAAGGGCGCGUAGGCGGGAAUGUAAGUCGGGCGUGAAAUCCCCAGGCUCAACCUGGGAACUGCACUCGAAACUGCGUUUCUUGAGUAUCGGAGAGGAAAGCGGAAUUCCUGGUGUAGAGGUGAAAUUCGUAGAUAUCAGGAGGAACACCAGUGGCGAAGGCGGCUUUCUGGACGGUAACU
rnacentral:rRNA from 1 species